rnacentral:rRNA from 1 species
AAUAUUCUACAAUGGGCGAAAGCAUGAUCCAGCAAUUAUGCGGGUGUGAAGAUGGCGUCCGGAUGGUAAAGCACUUUCAGUAGUGAAGAUAAUGACGGUACCUCCUGAAGAAGCACCGGCUAAUUCCGUCCCAGCAGCCGCGGUAAUACGGAGGGUGCGAGCUUUAAUCGGAAUUAUUGGGCGUAAAGAGCACGUAGGGGGUUGUGUAAGUCGGAUGAGAAAUCCCCGGGCUCAACCUGGGAAUUACAUUAGAAACUGCAUCAGUAGAGAGAGCAGAGAGGGGGGAAUUCCGGGUGUAGCGAGAAAUAUUAGAGAUCCGGAGGAACAUCAGUGGCGAAGGCGCCAUCCUGGGCUAAGACUGACACUGAGGGCGAAAGCGUGGGGAGCAAACAGGAUUAGAUACCCUGGUAGUCCCCGCCCUA